rnacentral:lncRNA from 1 species
GAAGCAUCUUCUCCCCACUUCUCUGUGCUGCUGGCACAGUCCUUCAGAGUCCAUCAUAUGAUGCAGGGCUACUUCUGGUAGGGUUCUGUGGGGCUCUGUGCCGGUAGCAUGCCAACAGUGGAGUACAGAGGAUUCCUUAAACAAAAAAGCUAGAGGAGGCGAAGAGGAAGUGGGGGAGAGUGGGUAAACAUUGUGGAAAGGGAUACCAUAACCCCAGUGAUCCCAAUGAACACAACCGUAAUGGUAUCCUGACAUUUCCCUUGCUUUGUAAGGGCCCUCUGAUGAGGUCCUAAAUCUGUGAUAUACCUCAAAAAUCCCAUUCCCCUGCAGAUUCUAUGUCUUCAUUCCUCCUCUUUUCCUGUUUCCUCACAUAAAAUAUACAGGAAAAAGGUAAUGAAGCAUUGAGACUUAACAAUAAUCGGUAUUCAACUUACUGAGAAUAUGAUCCAUUUUCUACAUUUCUACGUUUCCACACAUUGGUGUGUGUGUGUGUGUAUGUGUGGAAACCAUGUUUCCAAAUGGAAAGCCUUUCGUGUGACCAUAGGAAUAGCAUCCAGAUAUUUUCAAGGCACAGUUCUGGUCACAAGAUGAUGAACACGUACUGAAAAGCCCAAUUGCUUACCAGACCAGCCUACCUAGAUGAUUUUUUUCCCAAGAUGAAUCUGCCACUCAAAAAAUAUCUUCAAGAGACACCCUCUCUAAGUCUUGGGGGAGGAGCUAUGGGUGAUGUCUUCUCAGUGGUGGUCCCAGGCUUCGAUCAGAGUAAUUUUGAGUCUUACCUGCCCUGGCUCCAGGGAUGACCAUUUCCAGGCAUUCAGGGCUCUGGGGGUAUCAUGGCAGUCCCACAAACUUCACUUGCAAAAUCCUCGGUGCUUUGCUGAUCUUCCCCUUCCACCCCAGCAGUCGAACCCGCUGCUAAUGAAAGUUACAAUUUGGGGCAGACAGAUGGGGCUGUUGCAACCCAGAUAAUUCUCCUCCUCUAGACCCUGUCAGUUCCUCUGGGUAGUGUUUCUACUGCUGCCACCUCCAGGCUAAGGGAGAAGAAGAAAGACCAAGUCAGUUUAUCCAUUUCCGCUAUUCUAAAAACUUUUGCAAUCCAGUCUGACAUUGUCGGAAGGUGUGACUACUUCCAAUGUUGUGCAUACUGUGGCAUCCAUGCUGCAUUUAUCAUGUUGUGCAAUACUUGAUUUUGUUUAUUUGGCAUUCCCAAUAAAAAUAAUUCAGGCUCUACUGGUAUCUUUGAUUUUAAAAAUUCCUGCAAUGUUUUUUCUACCUUGCCCUAGAAUUCCCUUGCUUUUUAAAUAAGAUCACCACUUGUAGAAUAAAGUUCAUUCUCUUUUCUUUCAUUUCCAACACUUAUUGUUUUUCCCUUAUACGUUUUAUCAAGUUUUGUUGGGGUUAAGUACCACCUGUUCAUUUUAUAAAAGGUUUUUCUAAGGUCAUAACACAAAAUUUUCUUUAAGUCAUUUGACCACAUUUUUCAAAUAUAUCUAAUUCUAUGUUGUGUCCAGCAUUUUGUGCCCAUUUAUUCAGCUUCUCUUUUGAGUUCAAGAUAGAAAAAUCUUCAAGCAGAUAAUAGGACAGGAUUGCAGCAACUUUUAAUAUCUUGAUUUCUUUGAUAUCUUUGCAGUUUGACAGCUAUUUACAAUAUAAUUAGAGGAGACUCUAAUUGAAGAAUCAGAUUUCUGCAGUAAUUUAAAAAAAAUGAAUCAGUGUGAGAUCUAAUAGAAGGCAAACAAUUCUCUGCUUGAACCAGAGCUGCAGGAAUACCAGAUGGUAGUAUUACGUGUCUUGAGAAAUGUCUUCCCACCUAAGGACCCCUGCCUCCUCCAGCCAAUCCCCACUUAUAUGCAAAUUCUCUCUCUACUUCACAAUUCCCACCAACCAGGCAAUCUGCAUAAAUAUCCCUCCCACCCAUGAGCCCCCUUCCUCCUUUUAUCUCACAAUCAGCUCCUGCAACCUAAUUUGCAUAUUCAGCCCUCCUCUUGGGAUUGGGACCUCCAACAACUGAAGAAUUUAGUUGGGGGCUGUAAUGAAGUAUGAGUUGUAUUCAUAUUUGUUGUGUUUAACUAUGUGCUUGUGGUUUGGUUGGGUAGGUGUGAGAUGGCGGCAGCCAUUUAGUGGCUCUCCUCUGAGGCAGUUGCCAUGGAGAUGUGGGUGGAGCCAUCUGCUGAGGGGAGGAGAAGUGAAGAGGUUUUUAAAAGUGAAGUCUUAGUCUGUGCUCUGAUGAGGCAUAGGGAAGAUUGAUUCCAGGUUGAUGGGAUCAAGGACACUCAAGUGUUCAUUUUGAGUCGGUUUCAAAUAAAUUUGGUGACUUAUUUAAUGUAGUCUGUGUCCUGGAAAGGCACAGAGAAUCUGUGAUAUUAUAUCACAGGGGUGACUGUGGUUUGAAGUCACUGGAUAGUCCAGGUUUCAGACUUUGGGAACCAAUCCCAGCUGGACUUACAGGAUCAUUGAAGUAACAGUUUAAAAGGAGCAGAGGAAGAAGUUUUAACUACUUUAAGUAAAAGAAGUGAUACUUUAGAGAGUUUGAUUCAUCUCAUUCUAGUAUUGUAACUGUUAAUAAGAAUACCUCUAAGUGAAACAUCUUUUGUAACCACCAAGCUUGUGCCUGAAUAAACUUGAUAUUGUUCUUUUUACAUCAAAGCCUCUGUCGUCUAUAGACUCCCUCAGCACAAUUGCGCUACCAUUUUAACACUGAAUAAAGUAAAAGGCUUCUUCUGAGCUAUUGGGUGGUUGAGCACUUUUAUAAUCUAAAGGUGUCUCUCCACACAGUGGUGGCUGCAUUUCCACUAAUUGGUGGCAGUUAUCUUUUAUUAUUUGGGACAUUAUUCGUUAUUAAUUGGGUCUUAUACGCUACCCUCUUUUACAGGGGCCAAAGGGAGAAAUCUGACCCACACAUCUUCUCUCUUGGGGCCAGGACUUACCUUAGAAGGCAGAAGAUAGAGGUGGACGAAAAGCGGUCUCUCUUUAGAGAUAAAAGAGGGAUGCAAAAAUAUAAUAAUACAAUUAUAAUAAUAAUAAUAACGACGAGGAAUCCUGGAAGGAAAUGGGGAGCUUUGGAAGGGAGCUUACCUUAGAGCGUCCACAGGAACCUCCCUUUCGUAUUUGGUGCCUGCUCAGCAAAAAGGCCAUCACCACUUACUGGCAUCUUGCAAAAAAUCCCAGUUGCCCCCUUCUGUUGGCAGAGGACUGUGGCUCCUUACUCUGAGUUGCCUGGCAAGGUCCACCCUGUUGAAAAGCCCAUGCCAGAGAAGUAGAGGGUGGGGACCCUUGGCUGGAUCUGCCGCAAAGCCCUUCUGUUCAUGAUCAGGCCCAGGAAGGCAGUGGCCAGAGAAAUGUCUGGUCUGUUCAGAAACAAUUGAUCUCCUUGGUGACCACAUAAACACCUCCAGCCCCAGAACCCUAAGCAAAAAUGGAACCUUUUCAAAAGAAUGUUGAAAAGAGGCCUAGGAGGCAGGUUUGCCACAUGCUUCACCAGCCCUGCUCCUCCAGCUUGAAGGGCAGGCAGAGGCCCAAGACAGUGGGGCUCAACCCCUUUGCAUCCAAAGUACUCCCUGGAGAUAUCAGGCAGACAAAUUCUUAGGUUUUCUGGGAGGAAAAGCUCUUUCACACAGCUAGUUGUGCUGUUUGUAAUUUUCUGAAAUAUUUAGAUAAACUUUGUAAGUUUGCCAACUGAUGUCACAAUGGUACAAAAGUCAUUUGGAAAGUAGAUUUCACCUAAUGUCAAUUCAGUGGGGAAAGUACCUUCACCAAUUUGAGGAGCUUCAGACUUAAAGAGUUAGCCAAAA